GAGACACACAGACAAGAAGCACACAGCGAGAAGAGGCCACGUGAAGAUGGAGGCGGAGAUUGGAGCGAUGCAGCCACAAGCCAUGGAAUACCUGGGGGCCACCAGGAGUCAGAAGAGGCAGGAAGGGCCCUCCCUUAGAGCCACCGCAGGAAGCACGGCCCUGCCGAUGUCUGGAUUUGGGACUUGUGGCCUCCAGAACGUGAGAGAAACCACCAUGAGAACAGCUGGUACUCAUGGACCAGUGGCAGCUGGAUGACCCGCAGUCACCAUCCACUGAAUCCUUCCAGGAACACCUGCACGUGGAAGCAGGCAGAUGCUGACUCACCCACUAAAGCUGAGGCCGAAGGAAAUUCUCCGAUGACAAGGCUCUGCAGGUGCCAUACGGAGCGAGUGCUUUUCAGGCAGCUGGCGGAGCCCAGAGCAAGCUUCCCCCAGAGCAUCCGAAGGGGCCACUUGGCUGCAGUCGCCAUCGCGAGAACAACAGGAAACUGAGCAGGGGCUGCUGUCGUCCUGGGCAGGACAGCUCUCCAUUUCCCUUCAGGCCUGGCAUUGUUUUGCUGAUGGAAGAAAAGUGGAAUGGGGCGUGAUCACACUGCCGGCUCAGCAGCUGGAAAGCUCAUGUGUUUGCUUAAAUGUGCACAAGGUGAGGUCCCUCUGUGCCGCUGAUC